rnacentral:rRNA from 1 species
GAUGAACGCUGGCGGCGUGCCUAAUACAUGCAAGUCGAGCGAACAGACGAGGAGCUUGCUCCUCUGACGUUAGCGGCGGACGGGUGAGUAACACGUGGAUAACCUACCUAUAAGACUGGGAUAACUUCGGGAAACCGGAGCUAAUACCGGAUAAUAUAUUGAACCGCAUGGUUCAAUAGUGAAAGACGGUUUUGCUGUCACUUAUAGAUGGAUCCUCGCCGCAUUAGCUAGUUGGUAAGGUAACGGCUUACCAAGGCAACGAUGCGUAGCCGACCUGAGAGGGUGAUCGGCCACACUGGAACUGAGACACGGUCCAGACUCCUACGGGAGGCAGCAGUAGGGAAUCUUCCGCAAAGGGCGAAAGCCUGACGGAGCAACGCCGCGUGAGUGAUGAAGGUCUUCGGAUCGUAAAACUCUGUUAUUAGGGAAGAACAAAUGUGUAAGUAACUAUGCACGUCUUGACGGUACCUAAUCAGAAAGCCACGGCUAACUACGUG